UUCACCUCUUCCCUUACCGAACAGAGAAGUUAAGCCCCUCAUGGCCGAUGGUACUGCAAAGAAAUGCGGGAGAGUAGGUAGUUGCCAUAU
rnacentral:rRNA from 1 species